rnacentral:rRNA from 1 species
UACGUAGGAUCCGAGCGUUAUCCGGAUUUAUUGGGUUUAAAGGGUGCGCAGGCGGGAUGUUAAGUCGGCGGUGAAAUUUUGCAGCUCAACUGUAAAAGUGCCUUCGAUACUGGCUUUCUUGAGUGUGGAUGAAGUAGGCGGAAUUUGUGGUGUAGCGGUGAAAUGCUUAGAUAUCACGAGGAACUCCGAUUGCGCAGGCAGCUUACUAAACCACUACUGACGCUCAUGCACGAAGGCGUGGGGAUCAAACAGGAUUAGAUACCCGGGUA